rnacentral:rRNA from 1 species
UACGUAGGUGGCAAGCGUUGUCCGGAAUUAUUGGGCGUAAAGCGCGCGCAGGUGGUUUCUUAAGUCUGAUGUGAAAGCCCACGGCUCAACCGUGGAGGGUCAUUGGAAACUGGGGAACUUGAGUGCAGGAGAGAAGAGUGGAACUCCACGUGUAGCGGUGAAAUGCGUAGAGAUGUGGAGGAACACCAGUGGCGAAGGCGACUCUUUGGCCUGUAACUGACACUGAGGCGCGAAAGCGUGGGGAGCAAACAGG